rnacentral:rRNA from 1 species
GGGGGGGGGGGGGGGGGGGGGGGGGGGGGGGGGGGCGAGCGGGCCGUGCGGGGCGAGGGGCGGGCGGGUGGGGAGGGCGUGGGGAGCUGCCAUUCGGGUAGGACUAACUCACAGCAAGGGGUGCGGUGCAGGGAUAGUGUCUUAGGGCCAAAGGUUGCGCGCGUUUUGAUGUGCCCGAGGUGGAUUCGCUAGUUGGUAGGGUAAAAGCCUACACAGGCGACGAUCCCUAGCUGGUCGGAGAGGAUGAUCAGCCACACUGGGACUGAGACACGGCCCAGACUCCUACGGGAGGCAGCAGUGGGGAAUAUUGGACAAUGGGCGAAAGCCUGAUCCAGCAAUGCCGCGUGAGUGAUGAAGGCCUUAGGGUUGUAAAGCUCUUUUACCCGGGAUGAUAAUGACAGUACCGGGAGAAUAAGCUCCGGCUAACUCCGUG